rnacentral:rRNA from 1 species
ACGCUCGACACCUACGGGAGGAGCAGUGAGGAAUAUUGGUCAAUGGACGCAAGUCUGAACCAGCCAUGCCGCGUGCAGGAUGACGGCUCUAUGAGUUGUAAACUGCUUUUGUACGAGGGUAAACGCAGAUACGUGUAUCUGUCUGAAAGUAUCGUACGAAUAAGGAUCGGCUAACUCCGUGCCAGCAGCCNCGGUAAUCUGAGCGGGCUGGCAAGGC